AUACGAAGGGGGCUAGCGUUGUUCGGAUUUACUGGGCGUAAAGCGCACGUAGGCGGAUUGAUAAGUUAGGGGUGAAAUCCCGAGGCUCAACCUCGGAACUGCCUCUAAUACUGUCAAUCUCGAGACCGGAAGAGGUGAGUGGAACUCCUAGUGUAGAGGUGGAAUUCGUAGAUAUUAGGAAGAACACCAGUGGCGAAGGCGGCUCACUGGUCCGGUACUGACGCUGAGGUGCGAAAGCGUGGGGAGCGAACCGGAUUAGAUACCCUAGUAGUCC
rnacentral:rRNA from 1 species